rnacentral:rRNA from 1 species
CCUACGGGAGGCAGCAGUGAGGAAUAUUGGUCAAUGGACGAGAGUCUGAACCACCCAAGUAGCGUGAAGGAUGACUGCCCUAUGGGUUGUAAACUUCUUUUAUAUGGGAAUAAAAUGUUCCACGUGUGGGAUUUUGUAUGUACCAUAUGAAUAAGGAUCGGCUAACUCCGUGCCAGCAGCCGCGGUAAUACGGAGGAACCGAGCGUUAUCCGGAUUUAUUGGGUUUAAAGGGAGCGUAGGUGGAUUGUUAAGUCAGUUGUGAAAGUUUGCGGCUCAACCGUAAAAUUGCAGUUGAAACUGGCAGUCUUGAGUACAGUAUAGGUGGGCGGGAUUCGUGGUGUAGCGGUGAAAUGCUUAGAUAUCACGAAGAAUUCCGAUUGCGAAGGCAGUUCACUGGACUGCAACUGACACUGAGGCUCGAAAGUGUGGGUAUCAAACAGGAUUAGAUACCCCUGUAGUC